rnacentral:rRNA from 1 species
GACGAGGGAUCCUAGCGUUGUUCGGAAUCAUUGGGCGUAAAGCGGGUGUAGGUGGCUUUGUAAGUCAGGUGUGAAAUCCCUGGGCUCAACCCAGGAAGUGCAUUUGAUACUGCGAAGCUUGAGUGCUAGAGAGGUAAGUAGAAUACCUGGUGUAGUGGUGAAAUACGUAGAUAUCAGGUGGAAUACCGGAGGCGAAGGCGGCUUACUGGCUAGACACUGACACUCAGACCCGAAAGCGUGGGGAGUCAAACAGGA